rnacentral:rRNA from 1 species
UUGGAGGGCAAGUCUGGUGCCAGCAGCCGCGGUAAUUCCAGCUCCAAUAGCGUAUAUUAAAGUUGUUGCAGUUAAAAAGCUCGUAGUUGAAUUUCGGAGUUCUACCGUUGGUCGGGCUUUGUCUGUACUGGUGUGUAGAAUUUCUACCUUCUGGGGAACCAUCAUGCUAUUAAUUUAGCGUGGUGGGAAACCAGGACCUUUACCUUGAAAAAAUUAGUGUGUUCAAAGCAGGCUCAUGUCUGAAUACAUUAGCGUGGAAUAAUAGAAUAGGACGGUGGUCCUGUUUUGUUGGUUUCUGAAUCACCGUAAUGAUUAAUAGGGAUAGUUGGGGGCAUUAGUAUUCAAUUGUCAGAGGUGAAAUUCUUGGAUUUAUUGAAGACUAACUUCUGCGAAAGCAUUUGCCAAGGAUGUUUUCAUUAAUCAAGAACGAAAGUUAGGGGAUCGAAGACGAUCAGAUACCGUCGUAGUCUUAACCAUAAACUAUGCCGACUAGGGAUCGGACGAUGUUAAUUUUUCCUGACUCGUUCGGCGCCUUACGGGAAAC